UUCAGUGUGACAUAACGCAGUAAAAGAAGAACCAAUUUAGCACGUUUGCAGAGACCUCUUUGAGCUCCGACCUUAGGAAAACGACAAUGGUGGAGCUGUCUGGUUUAGUGAAGAUGGCCUGCAAGAAAAGGACUAAGAAAUAUGUAAAACCUUAAUUCUGUGG